rnacentral:tRNA from 1 species
GGCCCCGUGGCUUAGCCUGGUACUUGUUAGAAUAGCUAACUUGCUUGGGCAAUAGAGCGCACGACUGAUAAUCGUGAGGUCCCGAGUUCAAAUCUCGGCGGGGCCA